rnacentral:rRNA from 1 species
UACAGAGGGGGCAAGCGUUAUUCGGAAUUAUUGGGCGUAAAGGGCGCGUAGGCGGCCUGGCAAGUGGAAGGUGAAAUCCCUCGGCUUAACCGAGGAACUGCCUUCCAAACUGCUUGGCUUGAGUCCGGGAGAGGUGAGUGGAAUUCCCAGUGUAGCGGUGAAAUGCGUAGAUAUUGGGAGGAACACCAGUGGCGAGGGCGGCUCACUGGACCGGAACUGACGCUGAUGCGCGAAAGCGUGGGGAGCAAACGGG